ACGUAUACAUAUAUUUCCUCCCCUCAAGCACGCCAAGAUCUUCUUUUAAGCUUAUUUACCGCAUUGAUAUAUUUAUUCUUCUCUGUUAGAACUUGCAAUAUGGCAGUCUAGGCGAAUUCAUACAAAGUGAUAGAACAGCAUAUUUGUUUAUUUUUGUUACAUUUUGGUAGUUUGAAUGUCAAAGUUAUCUGUUUUUUUCUGUUGCUAUUUUGUUUGUGUGUUUGCAUACCGCUAUUACGAGUACCUUGCAUGAAUUCGCUUUGAUGAUAAUCUUACAUUUUUGCUUUAGAAGUAGAAACGACCACUAGUCAAAGCCUGAACAUAUUCCGUAUACAUACAUAUAUGUAUUAAUGUGGAGCUAUUAUCGGGUUGCAGAUAGACACUUUUUUAUUCAGAGAUUUGGAGCGCCUCACAGUUGCCAAACACGUAACGGAUGGCCAUUGUUUGUUAUAGAAAAAUAUGCUGUGAUUUAUUUAAUAACUGUGAUUCGGAAGAUUUGGCGAAAAGGACACUGAUUUUGAUAAUAAAUUUUAAAGAGAAAGGACAACAUGGGCUCUCCACCAAAACAAUGCGCCAACUCAUUUCACGUUAUCAAUCAAGAGGUUUCUAGGCAAAGGCAGCAGUGAGUUCUAUCUGUUUCUUAAGAUGAAAGCAGCACCUUUCUAAAAGAAGAAAGCAGCACGUGCACUGUUUCGAACAAUGGAAAAUUCGAAUGGAGCGUUGUAGGUAUAGCAAAGGAGUGAGUGUAUAAUUCAGUUUAUAAUAAGUAAAUAUAGUAUAAGAAAUGAAAAUAAAAGGCAGGCCACACAUCUUAUAUUAUUAACGUA